rnacentral:rRNA from 1 species
UACGAAGGGGGCUAGCGUUGCUCGGAAUCACUGGGCGUAAAGGGUGCGUAGGCGGGUCUUUUAAGUCAGGGGUGAAAUCCUGGAGCUCAACUCCAGAACUGCCUUUGAUACUGAGGAUCUUGAGUUCGGGAGAGGUGAGUGGAACUGCGAGUGUAGAGGUGAAAUUCGUAGAUAUUGGGAAGAACACCGGUGGCGAAGGCGGCGACCUGGUCCGAGACUGACGCUGAGGCGCGAAAGCGUGGGGAGCAAACAGG